rnacentral:rRNA from 1 species
GCGUAAAGAGCUCGUAGGCGGUUUGUCGCGUCUGCUGUGAAAACUGGAGGCUCAACCUCCAGCCUGCAGUGGGUACGGGCAGACUAGAGUGCGGUAGGGGAGAUUGGAAUUCCUGGUGUAGCGGUGGAAUGCGCAGAUAUCAGGAGGAACACCGAUGGCGAAGGCAGAUCUCUGGGCCGUAACUGACGCUGAGGAGCGAAAGCAUGGGGAGCGAACAGGAUUAGAUACCCUGGUAGUCCAUGCCGUAAACGUUGGGAACUAGAUGUAGGGGCCAUUCCACGGUUUCUGUGUCGCAGCUAACGCAUUAAGUUCCCCGCCUGGGGAGUACGGCCGCAAGGCUAAAACUCAAAGGAAUUGACGGGGGCCCGCACAAGCGGCGGAGCAUGCGGAUUAAUUCGAUGCAACGCGAAGAACCUUACCAAGGCUUGACAUAUACCGGAAAAGUUCAGAAAUGUUCUCCCCGCAAGGUCGGUAUACAGGUGGUGCAUGGUUGUCGUCAGCUCGUGUCGUGAGAUGUUGGGUUAAGUCCCGCAACGAGCGCAACCCUCGUUCUAUGUUGCCAGCACGUAAUGGUGGGAACUCAUAGGAGACUGCCGGGGUCAACUCGGAGGAAGGUGGGGAUGACGUCAAAUCAUCAUGCCCCUUAUGUCUUGGGCUUCACGCAUGCUACAAUGGCCGAUACAAAGGGCUGCAAUACCGCGAGGUGGAGCGAAUCCCAAAAAGUCGGUCUCAGUUCGGAUUGGGGUCUGCAACUCGACCCCAUGAAGUCGGAGUCGCUAGUAAUC